rnacentral:lncRNA from 1 species
AGCUGCCGCAGGGCUGGGGGGGGCGCGUGGUGGAAGUUUCGCUGAGGGAUCGAAACUUCCUUGCACCAUCCCUGUGAGUACCUUUCCCAGACCUGAAGAAGAGCUCUCUGUAAGCUCUAAAAGCUUGUCUUUUUCACCAACAGAAGUUGGUUCAAUCCAAGAUAUUAUCUCACCACCUUGUCUCCCUAAUAUCCUGGGACCAACAUGUCUACAGCAACACUGCAAAUCUCUUAUCUCUGGCAUCUCUCAUGAGGAACACUGCCCCACCUGCAAGAGGUAGAUGCUGGGCAUGUGGGAAUUGCUACUAGGGCAUUUGCCUCUGGGACCUUUCAACCAUGGCUCACAUUAAAGUGAGAGAAGAUUUCUUUGGAGUUCAUUGUAUUAAAAGGGCAAAAGUUUCGUAUUAUUGUGGCUUUUUUAGCAGGGAAGACAUAACUAAUGUAAACCCUGGGAAGUGUUAUGAGCAUCAAAGGACUAUUUUAAACAAUGGGCCAGACAAGAAUAAACA